rnacentral:lncRNA from 1 species
CACCAGGCCCCCAGAGGUCUCUUGUCUCUGCGACCCUGUUCUGAGCCCCCACCUCCCCCUUUUACCCACCCCGACACCGGGCGUCGGGGGCCUGAUGUCAUCCCAUCGCUUUGUAACAUCUACUGAGUUCUUCGAAGAGGGGCUGGCCAUAUAUUCCCAACCUCCACCUCCACACACACCUUUUUCACCUUGGCUAAUUUCUCACCCUUGAAAUUCCUCUCCCCCACCCCUCUUCUGAUGGCACCCAGAUUUAGGACAGCUCAAGUCUAUAAUGUUGACCCUUUGUCCUCUUGUGCCUGCUCUUAUCCGAGCACUUUAUUCUCUUGAAGGUGCUAAAAAUAGCAUAAAUCAGAAAAAUAAGCUGUAUUUUGUUGAUUUCAUUUCUUCAAAGGUUUUUUAUAUAAGCAAGAUAAAAUAUCUAGGAAAAUUUGAAGGUAGGAGGCAAAAAAGGUAUUCUUCAGUGUUGGUUGUUUUAAAUAGAGCACCACAGUUCAAAAGCAUCAGUUCUUCGGUGCUCUUUAUAGUCCAGCUCUCACAACCAUACGUGACUACUGGAAAAACCAUAGCUUUGACUAAAUGGACCUUUGUUGGCAAAGUAAUGUCUCAGCUUUUUAACAUGCUGUCUAGUUUGGUCAUAGCUUUUCCUCCAGGGAGCGAGCGUCUUGUAAUUUCAUGGCUGCAGUCACCAUCUGCAGUGAUUUUGGAGUCCCCCAAAAUAAAAUCUGUCACUGUUUCCAUUGUUUCCCCAUCUAUCUGCCAUCAAGUGAUGGGGCCAGAUGCCAUGAUCUUUGUUUUUGAAUGUUGAGUUUUAAGCCAACUUUUUCAGUCUUCUCUUUCACUUUCAUCAAGAGGCUCUUUAGUUCUUCACUUCCUGCCAAAAGGGUGGUGUCAUCUGCAUAUCUGAGGUUAUUGCUAUUUCUCCCAGCAGUCUUGAUUCCAGCUUGUGCUUCAUCCAGCCUGGUAUUUCACAUGAUGCAUAUAACUUAAAUAAGCAGGGUGACAAUAUACAGCCUUGAUGUACUCCUUUUCUGAUUUUGAACCAGUCUGUUGUUCCAUGUCCAGUUCUAACUGUUGCUUCCUGACCUGCAUACAGAUUUCUCAGGAGGCAGGUCAGGUGGUCUGGUAUUCCCAUCUCUUUCAGGAUUUUCCACAGUUAGUUGUGAUCCACACAGUCAAAGGCUUUGGCAUAGUCAGUAAAGCAGAAAUAGAUGUUUUUCUGAAACUCUUGCUUUUUCUAUGAUCCAGUGGAUGUUGGCAAUUUGAUUUCUGGUUCCUCUGCCUUUUCUAAAAUCAGCUUGAACAUCUGGAAGUUCACGGUUCAUGUACUGUUGAAGCCUGGCUUGGAGAAUUUUGAGCAUUACUUUACUAGCAUGUGAGAGGAGAAGACUCUAGAGAGUCCCUUGGACUGCAAGGAUAUCCAACCAGUCCAUCCUAAAGGAAAUCAGUCCUGAAUAUUCAUUGGAAGGACUGAUGCUGAAGCUGAAACUCCAAUAUUUUGGCCACCUAAUGUGAAGACCUGAUUCAUUUGAAAAGACCCUGCUGCUGGGAAAGAUUGAAGUUAGGAGAAGGGGAUGACAGCGGAUGAGAUGGUUGAAUGUCAUCACCGACUUGAUGGACAUGAGUUUGAGCAAGCUCUAGGAGUUAAUGAUGCACAGCGAAGCCUGGCGUGCUGCAGUCCACGGGACUGCGAAGAGUCAGAUGUGACUGAGCCACUGAACUGAACUGACAUGAUUUAUAAUUUAGGAAAGAUGGGAUGUAUUUAAGUUCAAAUAACUUAUUAUUUGUCACAUUCUGCAUAAUUGUAUAAAAUAUGUAAAUGCUUUAUAUAUAUUAUUUCCAAGUGAGUGAACAUCCUUUAAUUUAUUCUGAAACUUGGGUAUGUAUUUGUAAUUUCUACCUUUUUAGGAUUAAAUGUUGAAAAUAGUAACUCCUAAUUUCAUGUGUUAAUAGUUUGCUGUCUUUUCUUUUAGUUCUGUCUCUGACGGAAUUGUAAUCACAUUGUAUAUAUUACUUAAAAUUUGUUUUCCUCAAAAUAGUGUGAACAUUUUCUUUUGUAAUUAAGCAGUUAUUUAAAAAAUGAUGGCUGCAUUGUAUUAUAAAGACCUUUCAUAGGCUAGUUAAUGAGAGCAGUGUUUAUUGGUUGUUUAAAUUGUGCUACAGUACCUUUAUUGGUAUUUUUUCAAUUUAAUUUUUAUGUAUUUUUAAAAAAAUGUGUACACAUGACAGGAAAUUCAAAACAAACAAAGUGGUUUACAGAGUCUGUCUCUGUUUCUUUCCCAAUCUUCCUUCCUUGUGAAGCAACCAGUGUUGUUGGUUUGUUGUGUUUCUUCUCAGGGCUCUUUUUUUUUCUAUAAAUAAGCAAAUAGAUUCUGUUUCCUUUCUCAGAAAAAGGCCAUUUGCAUCUUACUUUUUUCCCAGUCAAUAUACUAUGGAGAUGAUUCAUAUCACUGUAUGAAAAAUCGCACUAAUUUGAUAGCUGCAGAGUGUUCUGGUAUAUAAAUGAGUCAUAAUUUAUUUGGAGAAGGCAGUGGCACCCUACUCCAGUACUCUUGCCUGGAAAAUCCCAUGGACGGAGGAGCCUGUGCAGUCCAUGGGGUCGCUGAGGGUCGGACACGACUGAGCUACUUCACUUUCACUUUCACUUUCCAUGUACCCAGUGGUAGCUAGUCUCCUGACCAUUGUGGCGUUCUUGUUGAUUCUCCUUAGAGCUGUGUAACCUAAUUAUGUAUUCUUAACCCAUCUAGUAAAAUUGUGCUUUUGGGGGGAACUUCCUCCCUAAUGCUAGAUACCUGAAAUUCUGUACUCCUAGGAGCAGUCUUGAAGAAGUGAGGUGGCAGGGAAUCCUACACAUCUUGUUUUAAUGAAGUUUGAGGCUUCAGUCUGACUAUUAUUAGACGAACUUGAGAUCUUUUUCGUACCAGGUGAUGGAGCUGUAUCUUCACUGUUACUAGGAUUCAGGAACUAGCUCUGCGUUGGUUCUUUGAGGUACUGCUUCUAAAGCACCUGUUUACUGUGACCCGGGGAUGGUUUUGUCUGGAGGUCUUCUUAAGUGCUCAUUUUCUUCCUACUUGUGUUCCUCUGCUGGACAUUUUAAACUGUGUUCAUGCUCAAGAGCCCCUGUGGAUUGCAAAAAAACCCCUACUUUCAAAGUAACUUGUUUUCUUUUCUUUACUGAUUUAUAAAAGCUAUGGAGUUUAUAAUCUUGGACUUUAUUCAUAAACGCUUGUUUGCCUCACCCAUUUAGGCAGCCUGAAAGCUUGAGCAGGUCAAGUUUUCUCUUUUUUGUGCAGAAUACCUUGCAUUUUCUAUAAACAUAGGUAGACAGUGGCAUGGCAUUAAUACAUCCUGCCUACAUUAAAAACAUACAAUAUUCUAUAUAAAAGGCCAUAGACAUAAUAUGUAGUUCAGUUUUGUAGCUGACUUAACCUUUGAACUUUCAUGGUGCUACUUCUGUGUAACCCAAUACAUAUACAAGUAUAUAUUGAACUGAGACUAAAAUUUCAUGAACAAUACCUUUACUAUGUAACUGAUAGUGUUUUUUCUAUUCUAAUUUCAUUAAAGAUAAAUGUUGUCUGGGGACUCAUUAAGUCAUCUGCAGGACCUUCAGUAAAUCAGUUGAAAGGUAUUUUCUAGAGGAGGAGGUUAGCUUUGAGAGAUUAAGCUGAGUGAGGCAAACCCAGCCCUGGUUUGGUUUGGAGCAUGGACUCUAGAGAAGGGCAGACUUGGGUUCAAGUCUUCCCUCUGCCAGUUGGGCCUCAGCCUUCUGUAAAACUGGAAACACUUCCUGCUUAGUGGUUGUGAGGAUCAUAUAAGGUAAGCAUUAACACAGCUGCUGUUAUUAGCCAUUAUGCCUUAUUUUAGGACUUAAGGGAGCUUCUCUGACUUCUAGCCUGGUGCUCUUUGUACAGAUUGCAGAAUCUGCUGUGACGGGAGUUAUGGGACAGCAUUAAGUAACAACAGGUGGAUGGGAAUUGCUUCGUUGAUCUGCUCACCCUUUGGGAUCAGUUUAGGUUACUGUUAAGGUCUAUGCUCUCAAACUGUGCUAGUUUAUUAGAGGAGUAGAAACUGCCUGACGAAGAAGGCAAUGGCAGCCCACUGCAGUACUCUUGCCUGGAAAAUCCCAUGGAUGGAGGAGCCUGGUAGGCUGUAGUCCAUGGGGUUGCUAAGAGUCAGGCACGGAGCGACUUCACUUUCACUUUUCGCUUCCAUGCAU